rnacentral:rRNA from 1 species
UACGGAGGAUGCGAGCGUUAUCCGGAUUUAUUGGGUUUAAAGGGUGCGCAGGCGGCGUGUCAAGUCAGCGGUAAAAUGUCGGGGCUCAACCCCGGCCGGCCGUUGAAACUGGCGUGCUCGAGUUGGAGAGAAGUAUGCGGAAUUCGUGGUGUAGCGGUGAAAUGCAUAGAUACCACGAAGAACCCCGAUUGCGAAGGCAGCAUACCGGCUCCACACUGACGCUGAGGCACGAAAGCGUGGGUAUCGAACAGG